UUCAAAAUGCUGCCUCUCCCUUCCAGUUCCAGGCUCUUCCUGUCGUCGAACCCCCCACUAUUCCAUUUUCUUCCUGCAACCUCCUUCGCGAUUCCAAACCCAAAGCCUUUGACCCCAAUCAUGUCCUUCUCUUCUCCUGCUUCAUCUUCAGCUGCCCCCUCCAAAGCCAACCCCAGAGAAGAACACAACUUGGAUGAACACAAACUCUCGCAGGUACUCAAGUACCACAACCAAACCAAACACUCCUUCAACAAGUACGCCAGAGGCCCUCACGGCCUCGAUUGGGCCAACCAACCUAACCCAUUUCGCAGGUAUGUGUCUUCUCCUCUCCUUCCUCUUUUACACUACCAAUCGUUGCCGAUUGAACCUCCUUUGUAUUCCUCUGUGUUCCUUUCUCUUCCUCCUGCGAAACCCCUUUCCAAAUCCACCAUUUCUCAGUUUUUCUAUGACUCUCUCGCUCUUUCUGCUUGGAAAACCACAGGAUUCAGUACAUGGUCUCUCCGGGUUAACCCAAGUAGUGGUAAUUUGCACCCAACGGAGGCCUACAUUAUUGCCCCUCCCAUAGAAUCCCUCUCUGACUCACCUUUUGUUGCGCAUUAUGCCCCAAAGGAACAUGGUUUGGAGGUCAGAGCCGAAAUUCCAUCGGCGUUCUUCAAAAAAUUCUUUCCCCAGAAUUCUUUUCUUGUUGGGUUGUCAUCGAUUUUCUGGCGUGAGGCAUGGAAGUACGGUGAGCGAGCUUUUAGGUAUUGUAAUCAUGACGUAGGUCAUGCAAUUGCUGCGGUUGCAAUGGCCGCUGCAGGGCUUGGCUGGGAUGUGAAGCUUAUGGAUGGAUUGGGAUAUGAGGAUUUGAAGAAUCUAAUGGGUCUUCAAGUUUUCCCUGAAUUUGAAAUUCCAUCAAGACCUGUGAAAGGAAGGAUUCCAGAGAUUGAAUUUGAGCAUCCAGAUUGCGUUUUACUAGUUUAUCCGAACGAAAUUGGCAAAUUUGACGUGGAUUAUAAAAAAUUAAGUUCUGCUAUAUCUGAAUUUUCGAAAUUGGAGUGGAAAGGAAAACCCAAUUUGCUUAGCAAAGAGCAUAUAUGUUGGGAUAUUAUCUAUAGGACUGCUGAGAUUGUGAAGAAGCCUUUGACAUUGGGACAAAGAUUCUUUAUCGAUCCAUUUCAAAAAAGUUGUCUUUACAGUGAACCCUCGUACAAGGGUUUUACAUUGAGGAAAGUUGUUAGGACACGUAGAAGUGCAGUUGAUAUGGAUGGAGUUACUCAAAUGGGGAGAGAUACAUUUUAUCAGAUUCUAUCACAUUGUCUUCCUUCAGGUUGUGAAAAUGGAGAGAAGCAACAGAGGCAGCUUGCAUUGCCAUUCCGGGCUUUUCCAUGGGAUGCUGAAGUGCAUGCUGCUUUAUUUGUCCAUAGAGUGCUGGGUUUACCACAAGGCUUGUAUUUUCUAGUGAGGAAUGAAAAUCAUUUUGAGGAGCUCAAGAAAUCUAUGAGCUCUGACUUUGUAUGGGCCAAACCAGAGGGCUGCCCUGAUGAUUUACCUUUAUAUGAACUCUCUAGAUGCAAUUGUCAACAGCUUGCCAUGCAGCUCUCAUGUCUUCAGGAUAUCGCUGGUGAUGGUUGCUUCAGUCUUGGCAUGUUAGCUCGUUUUGAGCCUACUUUACGUGAGAAGAAUAUGUGGAUGUAUCCUCGUUUAUUUUGGGAGACUGGAGCCCUUGGGCAGUUGUUGUAUCUUGAAGCACAUGCUGUUGGAAUCUCAGCAACUGGGAUUGGUUGCUUCUUUGACGACCCUGUGCAUCAAUUGCUUGGGUUGAAAGGGUCAAACUUUCAGAGUCUGUAUCAUUUUACUGUUGGAGGUCCUGUGUUAGACAAGCGUAUUAUGAGCCUACCAGCAUAUCCUGGUCCUGACGUAGAUGGUUAGGGCCUGUUUGCUAGACCAAAUAGAAUAAAUUGUCUCAUACAGGGAAGAACCAGGCUUGAAGAAUUAAGGAUAGCCGUCCUCCAUCUACAUAUAAAGAUUGGGGCAUUGUAUAUGUUGAUCCUUUUCAAAAUGAUAGCAAAUCACGGCUCUUCUUCAUCUUCACACACAAGGAGACUUGCUUCGUGCCAUCUAUUGGAGGAGUGGAGACAAUAUCAAAGGAAAGGGAAGGGUAUGCCCUUCCCUCCCCUAACAUGCUGCAUUCUAAUGUUUGAUUCUGAUGUUUGUUCCUUAAAUCUGAAUGUGGCUUUCUUUGAAGCCUCGAAGCAUGUUUCACUUUAUUUCGGUGGUUGUUGUUGAUGGGUUGAAGAUGCAUGGUGUGGUAUUAGUUCAGGUUUGUUGGCAUUCUGGGGAUUCGAAUUCUAAUAUAAAUAAAUUGUGGAUUUUUCAUUA